rnacentral:rRNA from 1 species
GCGCGAAACCUCCGCAAUGCCCGAAAGGGUGACGGGGGGACCCCCAGUGCCGCUGGCCUUCGGGUCGGCGGCUUUUCGGGAGUCUAAAAAGCUCCCGGAAUAAGGGCUGGGUAAGUCGGGUGCCAGCCGCCGCGGUAAUACCCGCAGCCCAAGUGGUGGCCGCUAUUAUUGGGCCUAAAGCGCUCGUAGCCGGAUCGGCAAGUCCCCCGUGAAAUCGGCCAGCUGACUGGUCGGCGCGCGGGGGAUACUGCCGGUCUAGGGGCCGGGAGACGCCAGGGGUACUCCGGGGGUAGGGGUGAAAUCCUGUAAUCCCCGGGGGACCACCGGUGGCGAAGGCGCCUGGCGAGAACGGACCCGACGGUGAGGGGCGAAGGCUGGGGGAGCAAAGGGGAUUAGAUACCCCCGUAGUCCCAGCAGUAAAGGAUGCGGGCUAGGUGUCGGGCGCUCUUAGGGGGCGCUCGGUGCCGGAGGGAAGCCGUUAAGCCCGCCGCCUGGGAAGUACGGCCGCAAGGCUGAAACUUAA